rnacentral:rRNA from 1 species
GAUGAACGCUGGCGGCGUGCCUAAUACAUGCAAGUCGAGCGAACAGACGAUGAGCUUGCUCCUCUGACGUUAGCGGCGGACGGGUGAGUAACACGUGGAUAACCUACUUAUAAGACUGGGAUAACUUCGGGAAACCGGAUCUAAUACCGGAUAAUAUAUUGAACCGCAUGGUUCAAUAGUGAAAGACGGUUUUGCUGUCACUUAUAGAUGGAUCCGCGCUGCAUUAGCUAGUUGGUAAGGUAACGGCUUACCAAGGCUACGAUGCGUAGCCGACCUGAGAGGGUGAUCGGCCACACUGGAACUGAGACACGGUCCAGACUCCUACGGGAGGCAGCAGUAGGGAAUCUUCCGCAAUGGGCGAAAGCCUGACGGAGCAACGCCGCGUGAGUGAUGAAGGUCUUCGGAUCGUAAAACUCUGUUAUUGGGGAAGAACAGAUGUGUAAGUAACUAUGCACGUCUUGACGGUACCUAAUCAAAAAGCCACGGCUAACUACGUG